rnacentral:rRNA from 14 species
CAAGCUACUAAGUGCGAUCGGUGGAUGCCUUGGCACCAAGAGCCGAUGAAGGACGUUGUGACCUGCGAUAAGCCCUGGGGAGUUGGUGAGCGAGCUGUGAUCCGGGGGUGUCCGAAUGGGGAAACCUGGAAUGUCCGGAGUAGUGUCCGGUGGCCCUGCCCUGAAUGUAUAGGGGUGUGGGUGGUAACGCGGGGAAGUGAAACAUCUUAGUACCCGUAGGAAGAGAAAACAAGUGUGAUUCCGUGAGUAGUGGCGAGCGAAAGCGGAGGAGGCUAAACCGUGUGUGUGUUCAAGCCGGCAGGUGUUGCAUGUGCGGGGUUGUGGGGGCCUUGUGGUUCUGCUGCCGCAGGAUUGGCCAGUGAGAAAUGUUGCGUGAAGGUGAAGCGUCUGGGAAGGCGUACCGGAGUGGGUGAGAGUCCUGUAACUGUAAGCGUGGCACUGGUGUGGGGUUGCCCCGAGUAGCGUGGGACUCGUGGAAUUUCGCGUGAAUCUGGCGGGACCACCCGUCAAGCCUAAAUACUCCUUGGUGACCGAUAGUGGAUGAGUACCGUGAGGGAAGGGUGAAAAGUACCCCGGGAGGGGAGUGAAAGAGUUCCUGAAACCGGUCGCAUGCAAGCCGUCAGAGCCUGUGUGGUGAUGGCGUGCCUUUUGAAGAAUGAGCCUGCGAGUUAGUGAUGCGUGGCGAGGUUAACCCGUGGUGGGGGAGUCGUAGCGAAAGCGAGUCCGAUAAGGGCGUGAGUCGCGUGUUCUAGACCCGAAGCGGUGUGAUCUAUCCAUGGCCAGGAUGAAGCGUCGGUAAGACGUCGUGGAGGUCCGAACCCACUUCAGUUAAAAAUGGAGGGGAUGAGCUGUGGAUAGGGGUGAAAGGCCAAUCAAACACGGUGAUAGCUGGUUCUCCCCGAAAUGCAUUUAGGUGCAGCGUUGCGUGGUUCUUGUUGGAGGUAGAGCACUGGAUGGUCUAGGGGGCUUA